ACGGAAUCCAGAUGCGGAGUGUUACAUCCUAGAAUCAUUAGGAUCAUUAUUUGUAGUUACGCUAUAUUAUGUAAUAAAGAGAGUCGAGGAUGAUCGUGACAGGAUUCCAUUGACGCCCAUCUAUGCCACAGAUAGUGUGAAGUGGACAUAUCGGACAACAAAUAUUCAAGUUUUCCAGGUAGAUUUAGCUGUUGGCAAAAUGAUUGAGACCAGGGAUUUAGGGGACAAAGCUUUUUUUCAGAGCGCUAAUGCUUCUCUUUCGGUCCAAGCUUCUCAAUUUCCAGGAAUCAAGCGCAAUCAUAUUUAUUUUACAGAUAAUUGUUUGAUUGAGCACACGUAGUUUGAAGAAGGAGGCGGCUCGGACAUGGGGGUGUUCAACUUAGCAGAUGGAAGUUUCCAGUCGCAUUACGAGGGUAUUUCCCUCAGUCGUGUUUGUCUGCCACUUUGGGUCACACCAACUUUGUGUUGACAUUGAUGCAAGUUGAAUUAUGAUAAUCGACCCAACAGUAGCACCAGAUAAGAUAGAAACUGAAGGGGGGUGGCACUGUGGCAGCAGCGGAAUGUGUUCUUGCCAAUGGCCCUCACAUAAUCCUGGAUUACCCAGAAAACGAAGUAAAACUGAUAUUGCCAGGAACUGAAUACUGAAAUUAGUGCAUCCUUUGAUUCAUCAAAGCCAGUUACAGCUGCUGAUGUUCAGGAGAUCUUUGAGAAUAUUAGCGUAGGCGGGUAACUUAAGUUCUUUUGGAUGUUCAAGGAUGUACUAGUAGGCAGCUACACAUUUACUAGUAUUUUAACUGCUCUAUGUACAAGGAGAAUUGUUAAUGUUGCUAUUCUACUAUCUAACUCUUAGCUUAUAGUAGUAUGUUCUAUGGUUAGACAAUGCUAUCAUGUUACUGUUAAGCUGAAAGAAUUCCUUUGCGCAAUGGAAAUUGCUGUAGAAUGUUUCUGCUGGAUCGCAAUUUCACAUUCUUCUUCCUUCUCCUUUACAAGAGAACAAUUCAAGGAGUAGCCGAUCACAAGUCAUUCAAAUCAAGAAGGAGAUGUGUAGAUUGUCAUAUAUUGAAUGUGGCCCGGUAUGUAAAUGAUUUAAUUUCUCACCAUUUGUUUAUAUUUCAUAAAUGGUAUCACAAUUUGAACAAGUGGACCAAUGAACAAAUUACUAUAAUGAUAAGCGGUGUCAAUUUUAUAUUUAUCCUCAAAAUAUUUUCA